rnacentral:rRNA from 1 species
GAUGAACGCUAGCGGCAGGCUUAACACAUGCAAGUCGAGGGGCAGCACGGAAGUGGUAACACUUUUGGUGGCGACCGGCGUACGGGUGCGUAACACGUGUGCAACCUGCCUUUAUCUGGGGGAUAGCCUUUCGAAAGGAAGAUUAAUACUCCAUAAUAUAUUGAACGGCAUCGUUUAAUAUUGAAAGCUCCGGCGGAUAGAGAUGGGCACGCGCAAGAUUAGCUAGUUGGUGAGGUAACGGCUCACCAAGGCGAUGAUCUUUAGGGGGCCUGAGAGGGUGAUCCCCCACACUGGUACUGAGACACGGACCAGACUCCUACGGGAGGCAGCAGUGAGGAAUAUUGGUCAAUGGGUGCAAGCCUGAACCAGCCAUCCCGCGUGAAGGACGACUGCCCUAUGGGUUGUAAACUUCCUUUGUAUAGGGAUAAACCUACCCUCGUGAGGGUAGCUGAAGGUACUAUACGAAUAAGCACCGGCUAACUCCGUGCCAGCCGCCGCCGUAA